CAGUCGCCGCGGGAACACGGAGGGUGCAAGCGUUACUCGGAAUCACUGGGCGUAAAGGACGCGUAGGCGGAUUAUCAAGUCUCUUGUGAAAUCUAACGGCUCAACCGUUAAACUGCUUGGGAAACUGAUAAUCUAGAGUAAGGGAGAGGCAGAUGGAAUUCUUGGUGUAGGGGUAAAAUCCGUAGAUAUCAAGAAGAAUACCUAUUGCGAAGGCGAUCUGCUGGAACUUAACUGACGCUAAUGCGUGAAAGCGUGGGGAGCAAACAGGAUUAGAUACCCGCGUAGUCCCUGUCUCUUAUAC
rnacentral:rRNA from 1 species